rnacentral:rRNA from 1 species
AGAGUUUGAUCCUGGCUCAGGAUGAACGCUGGCGGUCUGCUUAACACAUGCAAGUCGAACGGUGUCUUCGGACAUAGUGGCGGACGGGUGAGUAACGCGUGAGAAUCUGCCUACAGGACGGGGAUAACGACUGGAAACGGUCGCUAACACCCGAUGAGCCGAGAGGUAAAAUAUUAAUAGCCUGUAGAUGAGCUUGCGUCCGAUUAGCUAGUUGGUGAGGUAAGGGCUUACCAAGGCGACGAUCGGUAGCUGGUCUGAGAGGAUGACCAGCCACACUGGGACUGAGACACGGCCCAGACUCCUACGGGAGGCAGCAGUGGGGAAUUUUCCGCAAUGGGCGAAAGCCUGACGGAGCAAGACCGCGUGCGGGAUGAAGGUCUGUGGAUUGUAAACCGCUUUUGAUAGGGAAGAAGAACUGACGGUACCUAUCGAAUCAGCCUCGGCUAACUCCGUGCCAGCAGCCGCGGUAAUACGGAGGAGGCAAGCGUUAUCCGGAAUUAUUGGGCGUAAAGCGUCCGUAGGUGGUUUUACAAGUCUGCUUUUAAAUCGCGAGGCUUAACUUCGUAAGGGGAGUGGAAACUGUAAGACUAGAGUGCGGUAGGGGUAGAGGGAAUUCCCAGUGUAGCGGUGAAAUGCGUAGAUAUUGGGAAGAACAUCGGUGGCGAAGGCGCUCUGCUGGGCCUGCACUGACACUGAGGGACGAAAGCUAGGGGAGCGAAAGGGAUUAGAUACCC